rnacentral:rRNA from 1 species
UACGUAGGGUGCGAGCGUUGUCCGGAAUUACUGGGCGUAAAGAGCUUGUAGGUGGUUUGUCGCGUUGUUCGUGAAAUCUCACGGCUUAACUGUGAGCGUGCGGGCGAUACGGGCAGACUAGAGUACUGCAGGGGAGACUGGAAUUCCUGGUGUAGCGGUGAAAUGCGCAGAUAUCAGGAGGAACACCGGUGGCGAAGGCGGGUCUCUGGGCCGAUGACUGACGCUGAGGAGCGAAAGCGUGGGGAGCGAACAGG